UCUCAGUGACAGGGAAUACAUCAGAAGUCGGUUAUUUACAGUCGUUUUUCUACUUAAAACAUCGGCCUUUGUGUAAAUUCAAGCCUUGAUUGGAUGUUGUAAAUUGAGUCUUCCAAGUGGAUGCAGCUGUAAACAACUUGGAAUCUUAGAAGGUCUGUGUGCGGGUCAUGUUGUCCUCAGCCGAGGACUGACCUCACGUUGAACCCCCUUGGAGAUACUAGUGGAGAUACUAGUGGAGACACCAGAGGGCUGAAAACAUACAGGUGAAACUUAAUCCUCCAGAUAUGGCAGCGCCUGUGAGAUACCCUUGGUGGAGAGCAUUUGUGACAAGGAAGAGUAUUCCAACAACCCAAGAAUCUGGUGAGACCCAACCUUCUGGGGAGAAGAUGUCUCCUAUCUCCUCCAAAUCUACACCGGACUCAAAGGGAAACGAAACAUUUCCAGAUGCAGAAACCUUCGACGAUGCAGAGUUUGAGCCAAUGUUCAAUGAGAAAACUUGUAGACGGAAUCUCAAAGUGUCACGUUCUGGACGUUUUAAGGAGAACAGAAGAGUACGGGGGACCAUACCUGACAAUAACAACUUCAGUGGAAGUGUUGCUGCGACUGCUGUUGCUAAGUAGGCCAGGCUAUAUCAUGAUCAUUCUACCUGCCAGACUGCAGCCUGUUAUGGAGCAUGGAGCAAUGGUGAUGCAAUUUGAAUACAUUUUGAGGCAUUUUUUAAAGAUAUAACUUUCAUAAAUGUUCAUCAAUUGUGCCUAUCACCAGGUUAAUAUAUUAGGUAUACACCUAAUUCAUAAUAUGUUUAGGCCAAUGAAGGAUGGAUACGGAAUAGUUAUGAAGUAUCAAAUAAUUGUAAAGAAUGAUUUCAUAAUCAUUUUGUAGUGAAUUCAGGAAGUAGGCCCGUCCGGGACUCAAACCAGGGUCCGGUAACUGUCAAGCCAAGACUUUAAUGGUAACGCCAAGAGGUCUGGGUUAAGGUUACUAUAUUACCACCUUCCUUCAGGAGAGUGUCCCCACACUUCUCUAUACCAAGUCUCUCUCAUGUGUACACGCCUCUCCGAUGGCCUCACGGGUACCAUCCCAAUUCACUAGGUGUGGGUUAAGGUCUCCUACAAUAUCGAUUUUCAAGUAUGUUUUCAUAUUUCAUACACACACAGCCUAAAGCACAUGGUAUCUAAUGUUACAAAUAUAUCCAGCCAGGGUCAAUUACUUAUUUUGUAAUUUGUUUGAAUAGCUUUUUGUGUGUUUGUUUUCUUGACAUGAAGGACUUGUGGUGGUUUGAUAUGAAGAACAUGAAGGACUUGAGGUGGUUUGAUAUGAAGAACAUGAAGGACUUGAGGUUGUUUGAUAUGAAGCACUUGAGGUGGUUUGAUAUGAAGGACUUGAGGUGGUUUGAUAUGAAGGACAAUAGGUGGUUUGAUAUGAAGGACAAUAGGUGGUUUGAUAUGAAAUACAUGAGGUGGUUUGAUAUGAAGGACAAUAGGUGGUUUGAUAUGAAGGACAAGAGGUGGUUUGAUAUGAAGGACAUGAGGUGGUUUGAUAUGAAGUACAUGAGGUGGUUUGAUAUGAAGGACAAGAGGUGGUUUGAUAUGAAGGACAUGAGGUGGUUUGAUAUGAAGGACAAGAGGUGGUUUGAUAUGAAGGACUCACAUACAACCAAACUUUAUUUAGAUCAUGCUGGAUUAAUCUGAUUCUGUUCAUACUGUACUAGGCUACCUAAGGUCUAGUAUGCACUAAUGCAGUGGUUCCCAACCAUUCUUUUGUUACUGUACCACCAACUGAAUUUUGCUCUGCCUGGAGUACCCCUGAAGUACCCCCUCGUGUAUUUUACCAGUAGGGCUAUGGGCUCAUGAGUCUUCUCAAGUACCCCUGUGGAUAGACCAGGUACCCCCAGGGGUCCUAGUACCACUGGUUGGGAACCACUGCAGUAAUGAACUCUUAAAGUGGAUGUGAAUGAAGGAUAUGCCAGCAUGUACAUUAGCUAGUGUUGAGAUUUUAAGAUACUAUUUUAAAUGUAAAAAGAAAAAAAAAAAACAUCUGCAUUUUGUACUGCAAUGUACGUACUCGCACGCACACUCACUCAGGAAUUACAUACGACGUUAAUACACCUUUGUUACAUAUUUAUUGUGGAUAAUAUAUUUACUAUUUAGUCACGAUCUCAACAUCUCUGUUUUGAAUGGACAAUGCCUACUGGCAUCAUUGUUUACAGUCUGCUAAAAGUUUACUUCAGAGAUGUAUAUGAAGAAAAAACAUCUACAAUAUUGUAAAUAAAUGUGUAAAUAUGUAAUUUGGUUUACUUUGUGUUUUAUUUUCACUUAACAAUAACAGAUAUGGUGAAGAAAGCU
rnacentral:lncRNA from 1 species